GAACGCUGGCGGCAUGCCUUACACAUGCAAGUCGAACGGCAGCACGGGAGCAAUCCUGGUGGCGAGUGGCGAACGGGUGAGUAAUAUAUCGGAACGUGCCCAGUCGUGGGGGAUAACGUAGCGAAAGCUACGCUAAUACCGCAUACGAUCUAUGGAUGAAAGCGGGGGAUCGCAAGACCUCGCGCGAUUGGAGCGGCCGAUAUCAGAUUAGGUAGUUGGUGAGGUAAAGGCUCACCAAGCCGACGAUCUGUAGCUGGUCUGAGAGGACGACCAGCCACACUGGGACUGAGACACGGCCCAGACUCCUACGGGAGGCAGCAGUGGGGAAUUUUGGACAAUGGGCGCAAGCCUGAUCCAGCAAUGCCGCGUGCAGGAUGAAGGCCUUCGGGUUGUAAACUGCUUUUGUACGGAACGAAACGGUAAGCUCUAAUACAGUUUGCUAAUGACGGUACCGUAAGAAUAAGCACCGGCUAACUACGUG
rnacentral:rRNA from 1 species